rnacentral:rRNA from 1 species
GGGUUGUAAACUUCUUUUGUCAGGGACGAGUAGAAGACGGUACCUGACGAAUAAGCCACGGCUAACUACGUGCCAGCAGCCGCGGUAAUACGUAGGUGGCAAGCGUUGUCCGGAUUUACUGGGUGUAAAGGGCGUGUAGCCGGGAGGGCAAGUCAGAUGUGAAAUCCACGGGCUCAACUCGUGAACUGCAUUUGAAACUACUCUUCUUGAGUAUCGGAGAGGCAAUCGGAAUUCCUAGUGUAGCGGUGAAAUGCGUAGAUAUUAGGAGGAACACCAGUGGCGAAGGCGGAUUGCUGGACGACAACUGACGGUGAGGCGCGAAAGCGUGGGGAGCAAACAGGAUUAGAUGCCCUGGUAGUCCACGCUGUAAA